rnacentral:rRNA from 1 species
AUUGAACGCUGGCGGCAUGCCUUACACAUGCAAGUCGAACGGCAGCGCGGGAGCAAUCCUGGCGGCGAGUGGCGAACGGGUGAGUAAUACAUCGGAACGUGCCCAAUCGUGGGGGAUAACGCAGCGAAAGCUGUGCUAAUACCGCAUACGAUCUACGGAUGAAAGCAGGGGAUCGCAAGACCUUGCGCGAAUGGAGCGGCCGAUGGCAGAUUAGGUAGUUGGUGGGGUAAAGGCUCACCAAGCCAACGAUCUGUAGCUGGUCUGAGAGGACGACCAGCCACACUGGGACUGAGACACGGCCCAGACUCCUACGGGAGGCAGCAGUGGGGAAUUUUGGACAAUGGGCGCAAGCCUGAUCCAGCCAUGCCGCGUGCAGGAUGAAGGCCUUCGGGUUGUAAACUGCUUUUGUACGGAACGAAAAGUCUCUUUCUAAUAAAGAGGGAUCAUGACGGUACCGUAAGAAUAAGCACCGGCUAACUACGUGCCAGCAGCCGCCGUAACAC